UCAAAACGUAGCUUAAUAAAAGCAUCUGGCCUACACCCAGAAGAUUUCAUGACACUGACCGUUUUGA
rnacentral:tRNA from 1 species